AAGCAAUGUGGUAGGCUUUGCAAAGAUUAAGUAUCAACUCUUACAUACCACGAUAACAUUGGGUUGAUGCUUCAACCACGUAAAACUCUUAUUUUCCAUCUCUUUGAGUUGUCCUAGGGCUGAAUUUUCAUCUGAUAGCAUUAGGAAGAGUUCUAUUUGCUCCCUAGCUCUUUCAGCACAACUGUUUCUAGCUGUCUAGCUCAACAACCUGUGCCAUCCUGAUUAGAACUUGAAGUGUCCUUUUCGUGGCAUAGCCUCUGUUUCCACUCUAAUAAGGACUUUUGGGAGAGCGGGGGAAGGGAUCUUGGGCUCUUUGAGGCAAAAGUUGAGUGUAUUUGAAGUCAUUACAGCAGGAAUCUGAAGACGAUGGGUGGGAAGGGUGGUGGUCUCUUCUGAGCACUGUGCGCGCUUUUCCUGGGAUAGCUUAUCCUGUAGUUCUCCGGCAGGCCCCUGAUGGCAGUUUUGCAUGUUUCUUACAUAGAAAAAAGAGCAAGUGAGCACAAUUCACUGUUGAAAUGAGAAAGGGGGAGUUUCUGGGAUCUGCCUCCAGUCACCGAGAGUUUCAGUUGCAGCACCUUCUGUGUGUAGCUCCACAGUCACUUUAAGCUCAUGUAAGUAUAGACCCCGGCCACCAGGAGGGUCUUGCCCUCUCCCUGGUGCCAGCUGGGGUGUUUGUGCCGGUGGGAAUCUGAGUUCCCUGCCUUACUGGUUUGACCAGGGAGCUGAUCAAGCUGAAGACAAACGCACCUCCCCACUUUCCUCCAGCCGUCGGAUUUAGUGAUUAGCAGAAACGUAACAGUAGUGAUCGUGCUUCUUUCCUGCUGCUUUUUUGAGUAAUAUCUUUCUGUGCUUCAUCGUAAGGACUGCUGUACUGGGCAUGUCCUUCUGGUCAAAUACUCUAGAAAGCAAAAUCAAAACUAGAUGCCCUUUGGGGCAUCCCCUGUGUGGUAGACUGUACAAGUCGCGCCAACAGCCUUGCAAGUUACUCUGUUGUUGUUGCCGAUAUUGAGAAGUCAAGGUUAAAAUAGCAAGCAUUCAGAGGUCAAAAAAUGCCCAGGCUGAAGUUGUACAGGCAGCCGUAAUCAGUUAAUUAGCCUCCUGAACAAGCAUUACAAUUUGUUCUUAAUCAUGCAGUUGCACGCUAUUCUUGUCCACUCUAAGCUCCCUAGUUUUUUUUCUUCUCUCGUUCCCUUCCCCCCCCCC
rnacentral:lncRNA from 1 species